CAGAAGCUCCUUUAACAGUAUGAAUGGGUCGGAACUUAUAAAAAGGGUAGACUAGUUCGCUUGAAUUCAUUACAAGUUCUUCAGCAAUUAAAAAAAUCACUAGUACUUUUCUUCCAAGGCAGUAGCCUCCAAAUCAAUAGUAGCAAGUUAGCAACAAUGGUUUCCAGAAAGGUGCCUUCCUCUUUUCUCCUGGUCGUUUCUCUCUUCGUACUUAUUAACUUCAACGAUGUUGCUUAUUCGCAAAGCUGUCCGCGCGGAUUUCGGUUGAAUAGCGGAGAUACCUGUUGGUCUACCGCCAAAAAAUGUGGCAUCUCCCUGCAAACACUUUUUUACAACAACGGACUUACAUUAACUUACAUGUUUAAAGGAGACUGCAACAGUCUUCAGCGGGGCCAUCUUCUUUGCUGCACUGAAUGGAACGAGCGAAAAUAAAGAAAAAUUCAUCAAUAAUGAAAGUCAUUUCCGCGUUUCAAAAUUAAUCUUUUGAAAAAUAAAAAUGAAAUGGAAUUUGAAAUGUUUGAAAUCUAUAUAAUGUAAUCCUUAUAUAAUUUUUGAUUGGGCUUCAUUUGCAUUUAACGUCUUGAGAUACAUUUCUGUCUUCACU